rnacentral:rRNA from 1 species
GGCUCAGGAUGAACGCUAGCUACAGGCUUAACACAUGCAAGUCGAGGGGAACGAUAUUGGAAGCUUGCUUCCGAUAGGCGUCGACCGGCGCACGGGUGAGUAACGCGUAUCCAACCUGCCCAUCACUUGGGGAUAACCUUGCGAAAGUAAGACUAAUACCCAAUGACGUCUCUAGAAGACAUCUGAAAGAGAUUAAAGAUUUAUCGGUGAUGGAUGGGGAUGCGUCUGAUUAGCUUGUUGGCGGGGUAACGGCCCACCAAGGCGACGAUCAGUAGGGGUUCUGAGAGGAAGGUCCCCCACAUUGGAACUGAGACACGGUCCAAACUCCUACGGGAGGCAGCAGUGAGGAAUAUUGGUCAAUGGACGAGAGUCUGAACCAGCCAAGUAGCGUGCAGGAUGACGGCCCUAUGGGUUGUAAACUGCUUUUAUAAGGGAAUAAAGUGAGUCUCGUGAGACUUUUUGCAUGUACCUUAUGAAUAAGGACCGGCUAAUUCCGUG